AUGGGGGCAGGGGGCAGGAGCCAGGACUCACUCUCUUCCCACCUGCAGAAAUGGUGCUACCCAGCUCAUGCCUGGGACUUGGAAUCAGGGACUUCUUCAAGUCCAUCUAGCUCUGGAUCAAGAAUAUGCUGCAUCCAGAAACCACUACUCUACAUGACUCAGGAAUCGGCUCUGGAAGGUAGAGUUGAAGGAACAGGCCUCAGGAACACCGUGGAAGAGCAGACCCGCAGCAACCCCCACCCCAGCAGCUCCAUCUUCAUGACCAGCCCCUGCCGCAAUCGGGAGACCACCAGCCCACAUGCCAUCCCGGAGCUGAGCCUCCUCCCCGGGAUGGCCCCAUUACUGUCAUCAUCGCCUCCCUCCUCUCUUCUUUUUCAGCCUUUUCUCUUCGGUUUUCAUUUCUCAUCUUUCUUCUUUCCAUUUCUUGAGAGAUUCAAAGCAUCCAUGACUCUGUUUCCCCCCCUUAUCCCCUUCUGAAUUCAAUUUGCACUAAGUCGAUUGCACUGGCUGGAGUUCUGGAGAUGGGCUUGAGUCUCUCAGUGCGUGUGCAUGUGCGUGUGUGUGCGUGAGUGCGUGUGUGUGUGUGUGUGUGUGUGCCUCUUUGGCCACCCCGCCUCAGUGCCUGUGUGUCCAUCCACCUCUGGGGGGCAGCUGGGUGCGGGCUUUGUGUGUGAGGUCUCCCCUUCCCCUCACCUAGUCUGGAAGCUCCACACCAGCGGAGCCAUCUCUAAGCAUUCCACGACAUUCAUCUUGCCUUGUGUCCCUCCCCACCAGGGCCUCACCAGAAGCUCUGGAUCCACAAUAAAUACAGUUACAGUACUUUGUCUCAGAACUGAAAUUUGUGCUGCCUGCCUGGAGGUGUACCACAGGAUGGGGGGAAAGGAGAAUACGGGAGGGGAGGGGAGGGGAGAAGAGGGGCAUGUGGGCAGAGAAGGGACAUGAAGAGGGGUGGGCAUAAAGAUGGGGUGAACUACACAGGGGAAGGGAUAAUGAGGUUCU
rnacentral:lncRNA from 1 species